rnacentral:rRNA from 1 species
GACGAACGCUGGCGGCGUGCUUAACACAUGCAAGUCGAACGGGAUCCGGGCUUUCGGGUUUGGUGAGAGUGGCGAACGGGUGAGUAACACGUGAGUAACCUGCCCCCUUCUUUGGGAUAACGUCGGGAAAUCGGCGCUAAUACUGGAUAUUCUUGCUGCAUCGCAUGGUGUGGUUUGGAAAGGGUUUCUGGUGGGGGAUGGGCUCGCGGCCUAUCAGCUUGUUGGUGGGGUGAUGGCCUACCAAGGCUUUGACGGGUAGCCGGCCUGAGAGGGUGUCCGGUCACACUGAGACUGAGACACGGCCCAGACUCCUACGGGAGGCAGCAGUGGGGAAUAUUGCACAAUGGGCGCAAGCCUGAUGCAGCGACGCCGCGUGAGGGAUGACGGCCUUCGGGUUGUAAACCUCUUUCAGUAUGGAACAAGGAUCCUUCUUUUGGGGGGUUUGAGGGUACGUGCAGAAGAAGCGCCGGCUAACUACGUG